AUUGAACGCUGGCGGCAGGCCUAACACAUGCAAGUCGAGCGGAUGACGGGAGCUUGCUCCUUGAUUCAGCGGCGGACGGGUGAGUAAUGCCUAGGAAUCUGCCUGGUAGUGGGGGACAACGUUUCGAAAGGAACGCUAAUACCGCAUACGUCCUACGGGAGAAAGCAGGGGACCUUCGGGCCUUGCGCUAUCAGAUGAGCCUAGGUCGGAUUAGCUAGUUGGUGGGGUAAUGGCUCACCAAGGCGACGAUCCGUAACUGGUCUGAGAGGAUGAUCAGUCACACUGGAACUGAGACACGGUCCAGACUCCUACGGGAGGCAGCAGUGGGGAAUAUUGGAUAAUGGGCGAAGGCCUGAUCCAGCCAUGCCGCGUGUGUGAAGAAGGUCUUCGGAUUGUAAAGCACUUUAAGUUGGGAGGAAGGGCAGUAAGUUAAUACCUUGCUGUUUUGACGUUACCGACAGAAUAAGCACCGGCUAACUCUGUGCCAGCCGCCGCCGUAA
rnacentral:rRNA from 1 species